GCGAAGAGCAGCUGGUUAGGUUACCUGGCUCAAAACCAGGCGGUCGGAGGUUCGAAUUCUCCAGGACGCGCCA
rnacentral:tRNA from 1 species